AACCCUAAAGCUAGCCGAUUUAAUUUACCACCCCACCACUAUUAAUUGACACCUACGACACCAUCUCUAAUUAAAACAUUUUCCUUUUCCUAGUAUGGGCGACAGAACAGAAAUUAACGAGCCAUAGAAACAGUACCGCAAGGGAAAGCUGAAAAAGAAAUGAAACAAACCAUUAAAGUAACAAAAAGCAGAGACUAGACCUCGUACCUUUUGCAUCAUGAUUUAGCAAGAACACCCAGACAAAGAGCCCUUAAGCCUGCCUUCCCGAAACUAAACGAGCUACUUCGGAGCAGCACAUCAGAGCCAACCCACCUCUGUGGCAAAAGAGGGGGAAGACUCCCAAGUAGCGGUGAUAGACCUAUCGAGCUUAGUGAUAGCUGGUUAUCCAAAAAAAGAACUUAAAUUCUGCGUUAAUUUUUCAACCGAACAGCACCACCAAUUGAAGUUCCGCUGUAAAAAUUAAUAGUUAUUCAAAAAAGGUACAGCUUUUUUGAACCAAGAAACAACUUUACUAGGCGGGUACUGAUUAUACAACCCAAAUGGAAUCUCCUCAGUAGGCUUGGAAGCAGCCACCUGUUAAGCAAGCGUUAUAGCUCAAGACCCUCCAACCAAUAAAUCCCUGUACUUACUCACAACCCCCUACCCAACAUUGGAUUAUUUUAUAAACCUAUAAAAGAAAUUAUGCUAGAAUGAGUAAUAGGGGGCCACCCCCCUCCUAAUACACCAGUGUACGCCAGAAAGAAUUAAAUCACUGGCAAUUAACCGAUGCCACACCUGAGGCCCUCAUGGUAUUAAAAUACAUAACAAGAAAACCCCAUUCAACGCAUCGUUAACCCCACACAGGAGUGUUCCCAGGAAAGAUUAAAAGAAAAUAAAGGAACUCGGCAAACACAAACUCCGCCUGUUUACCAAAAACAUCGCCUCUUGCCCCACUUGUAUAAGAGGUCCAGCCUGCCCUGUGAUUUUUUUAACGGCCGCGGUAUCUUGACCGUGCGAAGGUAGCGUAAUCAACUGUUUUUUAAUUAAAGGCCCGUAUGAAUGGCAUCACGAGAGUUUAUCUGUCUCUAUUUUCCAAUCAAUGAAAUUGAUCUGCUCGUGCAGAAGCGAGCAUUACAACAUAAGACGAGAAGACCCUAUGGAGCUUUAAACACUUAAGUUAAUCUCAAACUUAACCCACCCCUCCGGGCAUAAACACGAAAUUGACCCUCCUAACUUAACUUGUUUUUGGUUGGGGCGACCAAGGGGAAAAACAGAACCCCCUUAUCGAACAUGUAUUAUCUUACUUAAUAUUAGAAUGACAUUUCUAAUUAAUAGAAAAUCUAACGAAUAAUGACCCAGAAAAGAUUUUUUUCUGAACAAUGAACCAAGUUACCCUAGGGAUAACAGCGCAAUCCUUUCUUAGAGCCCACAUCACCGAAAGGGUUUACGACCUCGAUGUUGGAUCAGGACAUCCUAAUGGUGCAGCCGCUAUUAAGGGUUCGUUUGUUCAACGAUUAACAGUCCUAUGUGAUCUGAGUUCAGACCGGAGCAAUCCAGGUCAGUUUCUAUCUAUGAUGGCAUUUUUUCCAGUACGAAAGGACCGAGAAAAUGGAGCCUCUGCCACAAGCACGCUCCCAUUCAACCUGCUGAAAUAAGCUCAAGCAGGUAAAGAAUGCCCCAAAAAACCCAAAGAGAAUGGUCC
rnacentral:rRNA from 1 species